CAGCACUGUUGUCGAAGGACUAUUGAGAGACUGGUUACCUCCGAGAACAAGUGUUCCCGUUAUCCAAUAUAAAGUGCAUACACCAGUCCGGAAUCCGUUUAAGUUGGAGGGUCACAGGUGUGCUGGAGCCUAUACCAGCUAUCUUCGGAUGAAAGGAGAAUUCCAGCUGAAGAAAAACUCUCAUCGCACAUGAUGCCUCCACCACCGUGCUGCACUGUAGAUAUGGUUGAUCUUCACGAUGAGCGGCAUUGUGUUUCCACCAUUUUGGCGCCGUGGCCAUCUUUCCCCAGCCAAAAUGUGGAGGGGUUGCGUCAGGAUGGGCAUCCAUCGUAAAACUGUGCCAAACAAAUAUGCGUUCAUCUGAGAUGACACGCUGUGGCGACCCCUAAUGGUACAAGCCGAAAGGAAAAGAAGAAGAUAUUAGUUAUAUGCCACACUAUCUAUCCAUUUUCCAUACUGCUUAUCAUCACCAUGGUUUCAAGUGUCCCGGAGCCUAUCCCAAACAUCUUUGGAUGAGAGACGGGAUACACCCUGAAAAUGGUCACCAGACAAUUGAGACUAAUAGAUACAGAUACAAACAAACAACCAUUCGCACUCACAUUCAUACCUAUGGGCAAUUUGGAGUUGUCAAUUAACAUUCCAUCCAUGUUUUAAUGAUGUGGAAGGAAACCAGAUUAUCUGGAGAAAAACCAAGCAGGCACGGGAGAACAUACAAACUCCAACCAGGUGGUGCCGGAUUUGAACCCCGGUCCUCAGAACAGUGAGGAAGCUGUGCUAACCCUUGACUAAGGAGUCCUAUGGGGGGUCAGGAUGAGGCAUUCAUUCAGUGACAAUGAUGCACCUGUUUUCAUUCAGUAGGGUUGUAAAGAAAAUGGCCAGUAAGUAAAGGAGAUUGAUUCCAUCCAUCCAUCUUCGACCACUUAUCCGGGUCAGGUCACAGGGCGAUACCUUUAGCAGGGACAACCAGACUUCCUUUUCCCCAGCUGCUUCAUCAAUCUCAUCCAGGGGGAUCCUGAAUGAUUCCCAGGCUAGCCGAGAGACAUAGUCUCUCCGGGAUGUCCUGUGUCAUCCCCUGGGUCUCAUUCUGGUAGAACGUGCCUGGAACAACCUCACCAGGGAGAUGCCCGGGAGGCAUUGGAAACAAAAGCUCCAGCCACCUCAUCUGGCUCCUCUCAAUGCGGAGGAGCAGCGGCUUGACUCUAGGGCUCUCCUAGAUGACUGAGCUUCUCACCCUAUUUCUAAAGGAGAGACCCUAACCCUAACACCCUAGGGAGAAUAUUCAUUUUCUGCCACUUUUAUCCGAGAUGUUGUUUUUUCUGUCAUAACCCACAACUUGUGACCAAUAGAUCGACCAGUAAAUUGAGAGCUUUCCCUUUCACCUUAGCUACUUCUUUACCACAAUGAUACAAACACUGCAUCGCUGCAGAAUCUGCACCCAUCCGCCUAUUGAUCUCAUGUUUCAUUCUUCCCACACUCGUAAACAAGACCCCAAGAUACUUAUACUCCUCCACUUGGGGCAGGAUCUCAUCCCCAACCUCCCUCCAAAGUCUCUAAAAAGGGUCUGUAAUCUGAACUGUUGUUUGGUGCAUAGGGACAAAAACUAUUAGGAACUGUCCCCCUACCCGAAGGGGGAGAGAGGCUACCCUCUCACCCACCGGAGUGAACUCCAACGUACAGGCACCGAACUGGGGGGCAAUAAGUAUACCCACACAUGCUUGGUGCCUCUCACUGCGUGCAAUUCCAGAGUGGAAAAGAGUUCAAAACCCACUCAAGAGGACUUGUUCCAGAGCCCAAGGUAUGUGUGGAGGUGAGACCAACUAUUUGUAGAUUAUAGAAUCAAGACCAAUGGUUCCCGAAAUCAACCUGGGCCAGGACCCCCAGUGAGUCGUUCAAAAAGGUCCCGGAUCCCCAACCUCAACUUUUGCCAAUAAUUUAGUGCUGGACACAGCUAUGCCAUUGCAGUACAAAGAAAUACUCAAUUUUAGUGGGUCACAUGCUCUCUCUUUUUAUUUUUGCACAAUAAAUCAAAACGUGGUUCAACAUUGGAAAGGGCAAUUCUCACACCAUGAUUAGCUUCCAGAGGAUUUUGUUUUUUCGUCUUCACAUCACGGACCCCCUGGAAAAAAGACAGAUGGUGGCCCAUGGAAAGGUGGACCCACGUUACGCUUUCGGGCUGUGCCCCACUUCCAGGCCUGACUCCAGAGUGGGGUCCCAGUGAUGCAGGUCUGCAUAAGGGAAACUUAGAUUCAAAAUUUGUAUUCAUCAUCGGGGUUUAUGGAAUCGUACUUUGUGUGGUCCCUCACUUAGGACCUUUUUGCUCUGGGUGAUCCUACCAGGGGUGUGAAGCCCCAGACAACUUAUUUCCUAGUAUCAUUGGGACACAAACCACUCCACCACGAUAAGGUGACAGCUCAAGGAGGCCAGAGCUUGAUUCAAAAUAAAUAGUAUGAGUGCUAAACAAUAUGGACGCCUUUGCUGCCAACAAUUACAAGACUGCCUGCGCCCACCCACUGUUUACUAAAGGCUUGAGGUUGGUGCAAUCACUCUGCCUUUGUGUAAUUUUCGAUGAAAGUGUCACUUUAGGAAUCUUAUGCCAUGGAUGAGGUAACCCAAUUCACAAGGAAAAUAGAAAUGUUUUAACAGCCCAGAAACCUGUCUGAUCUAGAGAAGAUCUGUGUGGAGGAGUGGGCCAAAAUCCCUCCUGCAC